CGUUAGUGGUCCUGCUCAGCCAUUGGUUGGCGGUGCAGUCAGCCCCUCCCACAAGCAACCAACUGUCAGUAAGCGACCGUUAGUGGCCCAUUCAGCCAGUGGUCAGAGGAGUGGUGGUUGUCAGCCAGAGAGUGAGCAAGUUUGGCUUUUGAGGAAAAAGGAGGAAGCCCAAUUCCGCCCAGCACCCACUUCCCAUUUUACUUAAGGUCCAUGGGGUUACCCAGAAUGCCUCACCCCCUGCUUAGUCCAUAGUGAUGCCAGCCUGUGGUUAUUGGAACCCGGUCUGCCAGACCAAAGGGAGGAAGUCUGCCAGGCAGAUGUGGAGCCCAAAAGAGGAACUUCACCAACUGCUGUGGACAGCUCUAGUCCUUUAUGUCCCCGUGGACUUUUGGGGAAGUAUUUUUGUGGCUCAUCAGUCUCAUUAGGCAAGGGCCACUUGUCCUGGGUUGUCCUUUUCUACUAGUGGAAAGUACAGCUCGGAGAUUUGGAAUAGUUGCUGUUUGACUUUUAUUCUUAGCACAACUGUCACUAUGAGCCUUUUUGGUAAGAUCUCAAGCUGAAGUUUGUCGCUGAAGAUUGCAGAAUUCCUUCUAAACUUUGGAACCGUUUUGAAUCAUAAUUGGCAGUGGCUUUCUGAUGGCAUCUUGAGCAAACUCAGAGGAGAAGUCAUUACUUUGUCUCACAUGAAUACAACACUGGCUCAAGGCCAGAAGAUAAUGCACAAAGAUCUACUAUGGAAAAGACUCUCAUAAACAAAGAAGUAUGCAGAAAACAUCCUGGGUUUCGUAAAGGACAAAAUGAUGUAAUGUUGGACUAGCUCUGUAUGCUUAUCUCUCAUUUCCGUUUAGAAAUGUACUAACUUAGGGUAUUAAAAAUUACUGUGAAAAAUAAAGCGGCGGCAGCAGAACAGCAGAUCCUGCUGCACACCCUAGUCUGGUCUCUCUCUCUCUCUCUUUUUCUCUGCUCUCGCCGACGCCGUUCAUCCUGAGGGUACCCCUGGAUCCUGUUGAGGCUGGACCUCAGCAAGUGGCGCCCGAAACAGGGACCCGAAGGAUUGCUUCAUGGUCAAAAGAUGGCUGUUGGAGAUCCAGUCUUCAUGUCUCAAACAGGAAGAAGAAGAAAGGGCCAAAUGCAAAUAGCUGGAAACAUCUGAUCGGCUGAGUCUGCUGGGAGGAAGGUGGUGUUGGCUGCUGGACAGCGAGCAGCGGAGGCAGAGGCCAUUCCAACCGGUGGUCACCUAUCUCCUUCUCAGACAGCCUUCCUCAAAGGGGAACAGACACACAUGGGACACAAGCCUCCUCAUAAUCCAAAGUGCCUGCCAGGACCAAGGUGGAUGAUAAGCCCAUGAAUAAUGGCUGAGGCUUCAUUAGCAGACUCCAUCAUUUCUCCGAGGGAGCACAUAUUCAUAUUCAUCUUUUAAUCAGCGGAGAAACUAGAGAAGGACUUGCCCUGCUGAGCUGAGGGGAAAAACAUAACGCGCUUGACUAGAGUCCUUCUAGAUUCUAGACGAGAGUCUUCUAGACGAGAGUUUUCCCUGGUGGCUCAGGUGGUAAAGAGUCUGCCUGCAAGGUGGGAGACCCGGGUUUAAUCCCUGGGUCGGGAAGAUCCCCUGGAGAAGAAAACGGCCACCCACUCCAGGAUUCUUGCCUGGAGAAUCCCAUGGACAGAAGAGCCACAAAGAGUCAGACAUGACUGAGUGACCAACAGAGUCCUUCUGGCUCCUGGUUCCUUCUUGGCAGAGUCAAGGUGGCCCUGUGCAAGCAUGUGAGGGAAGAGACAGGAGGUGCUGGCAAGAGAGGUGGCAGCUGUUUUGAACAAGGGGUUCUUCUGGUCAGUGACUCCAUCUUUACUCAGACCCAGGCUCCAGUUCAGAAGUUCAGCUCCCUUCUCCAACACCCACUCUCAGAUUCACACACUCGCAGAAGAACCAUCCUUUACCACAACAGCUAGCAUUGACCCUGCCCUGAGGCCCUUUCCUCUUCCAAAGGCAGGAAGAGGAAGGAACCAUGGAAAAAACAAUAAAACAACAAAACCAAAAAAAAACUACUCCUUCCUGCGAGUGCAAGCAAUUCCACUUAAUUUAUUUUGCACCAAAUAAGGAUGCUGAGGAAACUGAAAUGGGAUAACUCCCACAGUGUGGGUUCAACUUAUAGAAACUCAGUAUACUAAUUUACAAGCCAGAUCGAUUAAGAGGUGAUUAUGCACUUUAUAGGCAACUGCUUUGCUUCAGUAAGGGAUUCUUUUGAGCAUUUGCUCCCUAGGGCAUUUAAGAAUUUGCUUAUAGAUCAUGACUAUUGAAUGGAAGGAGGAGUGAAGUAGAAAAAUAGUAGGAGGCCUCAUCUACUCUAGAUGCAGGAGGAAUGAAGAAAAAAGGUGAAGUACUUCUGAAAGGAUAUAAAUCAAUGGAAAAACAGGAUGGAUUUCCCAAAUUUAAUGUAUAUGCAACUUUGCAUCGCAUUAUAAAAUAAUAGCUGUCGUGAAUGUUUACUACUAUAUACUGAACUAGUUUACUUACAUGAAUCCUCACAAGAGCUAUAAGAGGUAGAUAUUACCAUCCUCAUUCUGUAGAUGAGUAAACUGAGGCUCAGGAUGUGAAAAAACUUGUCAGAGGUCUCAGAUAUUUCAAGUUCACAUUACUCUAUCUAUCAACAGUCAUAAAUCCAACUGUGGGUAUUUGUGUCUCUCUUUCUUUUUUGGUGCGAAGCCCAAAGGGUUAGUCAGUAUUCACUCCUCUAUUUGAAAAAUGUUCUUUAAAAAAGAAACUAUUUUUGGAUGGAGUAAAUUAAAGAAUAAGCACGAAUCUUACUGUUAGUUUAUUUUCACUGAGUGCACACACUCCUCCAACGAUAAUUCACCCAGGAUGUGAGCUGGAACUCAUUAGGAGCCACCAAGCCUGAGGGAGAAGAUAAAACCAUGAUUAAAGACAUCUGAGCCCUUAAGGACAAUUUAUUAUCUUGGAUUUCAUUUUUAAUAGGAGAUACUAAUUCAUACAAGAAGUCCCUGGGGCAAAUGAGUGGUGCUCUGUAAUUGUUGUAGGUCUCUGGAGUGUCCAAACAUGCACUGGCUCCUGGGUGGGGCAGGGUACCAGGUCUGCAAGCAGGUGCCAGGCCUGGAAACUCCUUGGACCCUUGACCAGCCCGGCUUGGUGGGAGGAUGAUCUCUGGCAAUGCCACAAAGCAGAAUGACUCCAAGUGGUCCUAUACAAGUUGGCCAAUUUUUUUUCUCGAAAAUCUCUCCAUUUAUCCCAGUGGGAGGCUGAAAACUUGGCCCUGAGAUCGGGUUCAAAGCAUUAAUAUAGGUAGCAAGUGGUCAAGAGGAGCAAGUGACUGUACAGAGAGCCAGAUUCUCACUGUUAGCAGCAUGGAUGAUAAUGAUCCAGAAGGGACCUCAGGUCCCUUGUCUGCAAAAUGAGGUGAUGACAUAGCCUCAAGGUGCUUUUAAAAUAUGGUAUAGAGUUAGAAAGACAGAGAGGGAAGAAAUCCUACAAUUCAAUUCCUUGCUCAGUCCUUUCCUUUACUGGGGUGCUAGAAAUACAUAUAUAUAGAAAUACAACAGCAGCAAGAGUGUAUUGGUUAUUUACUGGUGAGACAUUAUGUUCAAUUCUGCAAAUAUUGGGGCAAUCUUAUGAAGCAGACAUUGUCAUUAUCUCCAUUUCAUAGUGAGGGAACUGGACCACAGAGGGACUGGAUGACUUACCCAAGAUCACACGGGUUCAGGUAGUAUAGCUUUAGCACCUGCAUUCUAAUCACUACAAUCUUCACCUAGAAAGUGGGAGUAAUGGCAUAUCUACCUCAGAGAGUUAUAGUGAAGAUGAAAUGACAUCACAAACUAAAGUGCUGAGCAUGGUUCCUGGCACAUGAUAAUCACUUGUUAAGUAAAUUAGAUUUGUUUAGCUUGGAGAAGCUAAUAAGAAUGAGAGACUUAAUUAUUGUCUUCAAAUAUAUGAACAAUUUUUAAUGAUUCACUUAUGUUUGAUGAAUAUUGAGCCCCUACAGAACCAGACUAAAUGCUUUGUAUUAUUCUUAGAUCUGUGUCAUUCAAGGAGAAAAUUUAAUUUUAAACAGGAGAAAUUUAAUUAGACACAAAAAUAUCUUGACCUUUAUACUAGGUAUAAAAUUCCAGAAUAAGUGAUGGCAAUUCACUGUGAAAGUUGUAUUCAUGGUGCUUAAAUGGAGAAUCAGUAUUGAAACAACUUCCAGGUAACUGUGCAGGUUGUAUACUGCACAAGACUAGGGACUGCCACUUAUGCCAUAGUGAAUAUGUUAAUAAGCAUUGUUUGGAAGUUACAUAAUACACAACCUGCAUGGUCCUUUGUAGCAUUCCUGCCUAUUAGUCCUAAAGUGUUUAGGCUGAAGCUGGUCUUAUUCCAGCUGAAGGAAUCCAUAUCUUUGCAUAAAAGUUGAGAGUUGAGAUAAUUAUCUAGGAAAGGGAAGUACAUGACUUGUACACUACAACACAUCACCCAGGGUUCCAUGGCAGUCAUAGAUAAUAGGUCAUGGCCUCAGAGUCCCUCUCCACAUGACACCUAAUAGGGAGUUGCUAUCUGUUAAUCAGAUGUGUCACGUUGGCUGAAACAAAAGUUGUUUAGCACAGUGAUCAGUUAGUCAUUCUGAAGUCAGAAUGAUUGGGCCUGAAUCUAAACUCUGCCACAUAUGAUACUGGUGACCUUAGUGAAUCAGAAGGGCAGCUUCUGACUGCAAAUAACAGAAACCAAGCUAAAAGAUUACAGAAGGAUACCCUUUUGAGAAAUACUGUAUCACCAAAGCUUUUGAUAGAACAGAGGAUCAUCGCAUAUGGAAAAACUUGAACAUUGAUGACUCAAUGCAGAAGUCAUUCAGGAGUGUUUAGACUUUCAGUGGAAAGCAGACUUAGGAAUACCUUGACUAAUUUACUGGGUGGUAAAGAAUCUACCUGCCAAGCAGGAGACCCUGGUUUGAUUCCUGGAUCAGGAAGAUCCCUGGAUCAGGAAGUAGGCAUGGCAACCUACUCCAGUAUUCUUGCUUGGAGAAUCUCCUUGGACAGAAGAGCCUGAUGGUGUACAGUCUAUGGGGUUGCAAAGAGUUGGACAUUACUGAGGUGAUUUAGCAUGCAUGUAUGCACAUAAGAGAAAUAAGUGGUAGGAAAAAAAAGUCUAGGAAUAAGUGUCUAAAUGCGCUCUUUCACCAAGUAUAAUAUAAAAAUUCUAAAUGCUCAGAAUAUGGUGUCAUAGGUUACUUGGCAACAUUUUUUUUCUUUCUAGUUGGACACAACACACACAGUGGUGCCUCUUACAACUGAUGGCCUCUUAGAUGAGAAGAAAUGCAGGUUACCAUAUCACAAGAAGGCCAGAGGGAGGACAGUGCCGGGGUUGGCUAAUUCAGCAGCUCAGGAAAACUGUUAGGGAUAUAGUUUCUUUUCUUCCUUCCCCAUUGCCAUCCUUGGUCUGUUGGCCUGUUCUUCUAGGUGGCUCCCCUCAUUGCCCCAGUUAUAGGUACUGCAUGAAAGUGACAAUGUCCAGAGAAGAAAGGAAGUGCCUCUUCUGUAUCUCAUUUUGGUCAGCAAGGAUUCCUAGCAGACUUCUCAUGUUUUACUAUCUAUAAUUGUGCCUUACAUUCCUAAUCAUUGUCAAUGGGAAGGGGAUCACCAUUGGUUUAUGCCAGUUAGAGCCAGUUCCUGGGCCCCUGGAAGAACUCCACUCCCCUGAAAGACAUGAUCCCUUGAACAAAGCUGAAGUUCUGAUUGUGAGGCAGAGACACAGAAAUGACUGCUGAUUAUUCAACAAGAAGGGUCUGCCACUCAGGAAGUUGCUUAUCUUUUCUUUGUCUCAGUAUCUUCUUGUGUAAAAAUGGUGAUGAUAAUAGCCCACCUGGAAGGACAGUUUCGAGGAUUAAAUAACAUGUAAAGUACUUAGGAUAGUGUCUGAUAUAUAGUAAGGACUUAAAAAGUGUUCAUAUUAUUGGUAUUGUUCUUAUUCUGAUUAUUAUAAUUAUAAUGUCACCCUAAAUCUAGAUAGAUAGAAUUGUAACCUGCCACUGAAGAAAAGGAAAAUCUGGGCCUCAGUUACCUCAGAUAUUAGGACAGAUAUUAGUCAGCAAAGAUUUUUGGGAGCAAAUUCUCUGUGCUACAUGGUGUUUACAGUAUAGGAGAUUUAAAAGCUCAAGGAGUGUAUGUCUGGUUGCAGAUGCAAAGCUUACACUUGGAAAACAAGCAGAAAGCCUUUUGCCUCCCCGCCUUUGCACAUACUCUACUUUCUGUCUGUAACACAGUUUAUCAUUCAUCUCCCCGGCCUUAGCCUGGCACACUCCUAUUCUUCCUGCUAGGUCACCUCAGUUGCUUCUCUGUCCCCAAACUUUAGGUAACCUGUGUAUGCUGAAUUCUCUCAUAAUCUCUAUUAGGACAGGAACAUUAUAUUAUAGUUUCCAGUGUAAAACACAAAGUAAUUGUGCCAUGUGAACUUGUUAAAUAAAGGAGUAAAUGAAUGUGUUUCACUUAGAACUCUUUUAUGAGUAAGAGAAAAAGCUAAUUUAACCUGACUUAAUAAAAAAGAAACUAAUGGACCUUAUAACUGAAGAGCCAGAAGUUGAGCUAACUUCAGGUAUGGCUUGAUCCAGGAGCUUAAGCAAUGAUAUUAAUAUUUAGUUUCUUUUCAUUACUCAGCCCUGCCUUGCCAAGUGUUAGCUUUAUUUUCAGGCUUUCCAUGGCAUUCCUUGGCAUCUUCAGGUUCUCAUCUUCCUAAUUUAAUCCCUGUGGCAAGAACCUGCUCCUCUUUCCUAUGAAUUCUAUCAGAUGUCUCACUGAUUCUAACUAGGUCGUGUGUUCAUCCCUGCAAGAGUCAUUAUGGCCAAGGGUGGAGUUGGAGUCGAGGUUUCCUCUCCUGGAGCACAUGGACUGAGAGUGAGAGAGGCAGUGAUUCCCAGGGGAAAGCUUGAGAUACUAUAUUAGAAGGGGGCUUAUGGAUACCGGACCAUGAAAUGAUAGAUGUUCACUGUAAAAUGGACAAAUGGGUGAAUAAAUAAAUUAUAUAGAACCAAGUUAUAAAAUCAGAUAUUGAAAAGAAAGGGCUAUAGAAUUUGUGACAGGCAGAAUAAUGCCCCCAUCCUCCCAUGAAGUCCACAUCCUAAUCCUUGGAACCUAUGACUAUAUGUUAAGUCAUAGAUGGAAUUAAGGUUUUUAAUCGAAUGACCUAAGAAAAAGGAGAUUAUCUUGGAUUUUCUGGGUAUGUCUAACACAAUCACAAGCAUUCUUAAAUGGAGAAGACAGAGGCAGAAGAGGAUGUCAGAACAAAGAGAUGUGUCAAGUACUCAACUCAUAGUUGCUGGCUUGAAGAUGGAGGAAAGGGACCAUGAGCCAAGGAAUGUAGGCCUCUUCCAGAAGGUAGAAAAUCAAGGAAUAGGUUCUCUCCUAGAAACUCUCCUAGAAAGUUAUGCAGCCCUGCUGAUGUCUUGAUUGUAGUCUAGCGAGACUUAUUUUGGACUUCUGACCUGCAAAACUGUAGGAUAAUAAGUUUGUGCUGUUUAAAGCAACUAUUUAUAACAGUGGAAGAACAAUAGAGAAGUAAUAGAUUUCAAACAUAGUAAAAGAUAUUCCAAACAGAGUAAAUGAAUGAACAAGUGAAUAAGUGAGUGAAUGGUACAGGAUCAUGUAAUGAAAUCAAAGUAGAGAGAGAAGUGCCACAGAGAUCAAAGGAGGGAGAGCUCUUCUUUGCUGUAGUCAAGGAGGGCUCUUGGGGAAAGGCAGGAUUGUAGUUGUAGUCUUUUAUAAGCUUAACAAAAGGAGAGAGGCUCCUGGCGGAGACAAAUGGAAUGUUUAAGCGCAGGAGUGAAUUGACGUAUUGGGAACUUCUCUGAAAUUGCAGGUUAUGGUUGGAGAAGAGUAUGAAAUGUGGUUGGGUAGGUAAGAAAGGGUGGACUGAUGGAGGGUCUACAGUUCUGGGAUAAGAUAAGAUAUUUCUAUUUGUUCCAUUUAUCCAAGAGAAUGUAGCAUAGACUUCUGAGUGGAAACAUUUUGUGAUGAAAACAGUGGCACUUGGGAUGGAUUAGGGACAGCGGAGGCCAGAGCGGGGCCAGGCUGGCUGUGUGGAAAUGGAGACAGGCAUCUUGUCUCCAGGAGCAAUGGCUGGAACUCAGCAGUUAAAUAGAAAUGAGAGAGGAGGGAAGAGAACCCUGGAAGGCUCUCCUCUGUCUGUGACUCAGGUCAUCAAAGGCACUCCCAAGAUUAGAUGCGAAAUUUAGGGUGUUUGCAAGUUUCCCUGGGAAAGGACCUACAUACUUUAUUGCAUUCUCAAAGAUAUCUGUGACUCCAGAGGCUCCAGAAAGGUAAAACUCACUUGUUUAAUUUUAAUUCACUUUACUGAGGAAUAAUAUAUAUAGAGAGAAGUGCACAUAUUAUGAGUAUACAACUUGCUGCAUUUGCACCGUCUGAAUACCCCUAAGUAACCAGCACCCAAGAAAAAAACAGAACCCUGCCAGAACCCAGAAGCUGUUCCUUAACCCCUUCCUAUCACACUCUUGCCCCUCUGGCCAUUGUAACCACUGCCUUAACUUCUAGUUUCUGCUAAAGUGUGCAGUUGGGGCUGCUUCGGGCCAGCACCAAAGGAAUGGAGCCACCAUUUCUAGAAGCAAGUAUAGGCUAGAAACCACAUAUUGUGGUUUUCCUCCAGUGGUUUUAGGAUAGAAUUGGUGAGACAACCACUGUCAUGCUUCCCAGAUGUCCCCACGUGGCUUUAGCUUAACAUAGAACCCCUCCAGGCAGACCCCCUCCCCAGGUCUCUGACAAUCUGACUUGCUGCCAAGACCACGCUCUCCCUCAGGGCCUCAGAUCUCUGUUUCACUCCGUUUGCUGCAUUAGUCACUGUAAUCCUGGGGCCUAGGCCUUGGGAAGAACAAAAUCUAGUUUGGGCAUUUCAUUUUAUGAGUUGAUCAUUAUUUGGUUUCCUCUCUGGUUCAGAAUCAAGGGCCAGGAACACAGGCUCUUAAGUACAUAGUUACCGUGGUGUGUUUUCAUGCUGCAGUGAGUGGCUAAAACGCGUUGGAGGGUAAGAGGAUUAGACAGAGAGCAGCGUCUGGUAAAUAUUAAUAGGAAGCCAUCCUGCGAGGGUGAUAUGGAGCAUUCCAGCGUACCCGAGGCCGGAGGAGACAGAUGGGACAUAACAGGGUUCAGAACCUACCUAUUUGCCUUUUCAAACAAUAGUCAAAUUAAUAAAGGUAACUGGAUUUCAGAUUUGGUUUCUGCCUAAGCACAUAAAAUCAGGGAACCCAAGCUUUUUGUGGCCUCAUCAAGAAUAAUGGAUACUGUCAGGGGAAAAAAAACAAAGAGGAAAAUUAAAUUUCGUCAGAAAAACAGGGAGGGUGUGGGAGGGAGGGGUGAGGCUGUGGUGUCCUUAGCUCAGAUCCAGUGAAUAGGCCCUCCCUGCUGGCCUCCCCAGGUACAAGGGCGGGUCAUAGCCCAUCACAGCCCAUUACCAGGGGCUGCCCUAAUUCUUGAGUUCUGUUCCGAUUUUGUGGCAUUGUUGGUGUUGGGCCCAACAUUGGCUGGGCUUUCAAACUGUUUUGGAGAGACUUUCAUUCAGAUGAUAUUUGUUCUCCCGGGCAGGCCCUGCCCCCAAGAAGAACUGUGAAGGUGGUAAAUUUGGUUUGGGUCACCCUUCCUCACUCUCUUUCCCCGCUAAGCCCCCUUCUCUUUGCAUUUUCCUUCUGCUGUGUCUCACACUCAGCUCGCCCUCUUUCUCCAACCUGAAUUGACCCUAUAGGCCGGAAAAAUCCAGCCCUUUCUGCGAUUCAGGCUAUGUUUUUUAAUGUAAAAAAGCUGUCAUAGGCAGAGAUGGUACUUUUUCUUUCUUUUUUGUUGGCCGCACAAUGUAGCAAGUGCCAUCAACCAGGGAUUGAACCCAUGCUCGGUGCAUUAGGAGCAUGGAGUGGAGAGCAACCACUGGACCACCUGGGAAGUCCCAGAUAUGGUACUUUUAGUGUACCCCGCUGUUUGUUUUUUGUUGUAACUGAGAAAAUAUACGGCCAAAGCUAAUAAGAUUACAGAAAAGCUCUUUAAAGUGCUAACUUGUUCCUAAUUAUAAUAGGAGGUAAAAUAUAUUUAUUUGAACAUAAAAUAAAUAACAUUAAAAAGGUGCUUUAACAGGAAGAAUUAAGGUGCCCUGAAUACUUCCAUUUAGAUGUGGCAGAGUGAACAGCACUAUUAAGCUAGGUUUCCUCCCUAAACCCAGCUAAAAUGAUACUAAUUAACUGAAGAUGGUAAAACUCAUAAAGACAAAGAAAGAAAAUGAGAAGUCAGCAGGAUGGAGGAUGUGAGGUAGGAGUGAUAAGGGACUUCUCAGAGUUAAGGGAGCUGAGACCUAGGAGCCUGUAAGGUAAGGGGUAUGGGGGACUAUAAAAAACAUGCUGAUUCAUCCCACAGAAUGUCUAGAGAUUCAGGAAUUGCAGACUCCUCUGCAAGCCAGAGUGCAAGUACCCCAAACACAGGAAGAGUUUAAAAGUUGUUUAAAGGGUAGUUAGACUCACAAGGCCUCUCUCCUAGCCUGAGCAGCUGGGCAACUCUCCCUUCCUCAUCCUAGCUAAAGAUGAAAUGUGUUUUCUUUGGAGAGGUUGAACUUGAGUUUCUGGGCUUAGGACACAGCUGAGCAUGGAAGUGAUACUCUUCACUGGAAAUGGGUAUUAAGUGAAAGGCUCUUCAUUGACUAUGGAGGACCCCAGCUUCUUUCCAUUGCUCAGCUCCCAGGAUACUGCGGUCAGUCUCACAUCUCCACACAGGUAGAUUGGAUGGUGGUUCUUAGGGGAAUGGGCCAAUGCAAGAGACAAUUCUAUAGCUACUGGGUGCUUCCUGGUCAGUGCUUCGGAUGGCUGCCACAGCCCAGUGAGAGCCCUCUUCUGGGUUCAUAGCUAGCACCUUUUCACUGUGUCCUCAUGUUGUGGAAGGGAUCAGGGAGCUGUGUGGGGUCUCUUUAUAAGAACAUUCAUCCUAUUCAUGAGGGUUCCAUCCUUCUGACCUAAGCACCUCCCAAAGGCCCCACCUCCUAAUACCAUCUUGUCAGGCAGUAGGAUUUCAACAUAUGAAUUUUGUGGGAUACAAACAUUCAGACUAUAGCAGCCUCCUCUCAGUGUAGUCAAAUACUGAGGAUUGCUUCUAACUUGAAACACAGAUAUCAAAAUAAAUUAAAGGGGAAAGCAAAACAUGGAGGAAACAAAGACAAUGCAGUGAUAAAAAGAAAGGUUUAAAGUUAUUAGUAUUAUCCUCAGAGAGCAAAGAAGUUAUAUCUAUGAGACAAAAAAUAGAGUAUUGUAAACAGUAUUCAACUUUUUGACAGUUAAACAUAUGGUAGGAGUUCCCUGGUGGCCUAGAGGUUAAGAUUCUAGGCUUUCACUGCCAUGGCCUGAGUUCAAUCUCUGGUCAGGGAAGCUGCAUUGCAACUAUAUAUAUAUCUGUAUCUAUAUCUAUAGAUAUGAACAGGAAUAAGAGUUUCAAUUAAAGACUGUCUGAUAAAGUAGAGGAAAUCUCCCUGAAAACAGGUGGAGAGAAAAGACAGCAGGGAGAAAAUGGAGACUCUAUCUCUGAGGUCAAACAUCAGUUAACAAGAAUUCUAGAAAAAGGGAAAGGAAACUAAAGGAGAAGAUGGCAUCAAAUAAUUGAUAUUUCCUGUAAUGGAAGGAUCUGUGUUUGUAGAUGCAAAGUGUCCACCAAAAUGUUCAAAAUAGGGACGGUAACAGGACCCUCACAUGGUGCAUCACUGUUAAGUUCCAGAAUGCUAGAAACAGAGAAGCUCUUAAAACUUCAGGGAGAAGAAGAAGGCUAUGUAGGGCAUUUGAGGAGGAGAACUGUGUGAGAAGGUCAGGGCCACAGUGGGAAGUCUAUAGCUAAUGUUUAAAAUGGAAUGUUCAGGAAAGAUCAGUUCAUGAAUUUUUUUAGUGUAUGAAAAUAAUUACUAGGAGAAACAUUCCAAAGAGCUGAAACUCACUAGCCUUGGAGAGGGAGUCAGGGAUACAAAGACUGAUAAAGGGAAACUCUUGCUUUUCUGGCAAAAGCUUUGUGAAACUAUUUCUUUCUAAAGGUUUUACAGUAAUUGCUCUGAUAAAUUUAAACUUAAAUUUAGCAAAGGAAAAAAAGGAUCUUCU
ensembl:lncRNA